UUUAUUUUGUCAAAGUUUGAGUUUGUUCCCGUAAAGAACAAGAAGUCAUGAUCUGAAUCUUAAUGCAGCUUCUAGAAACAUUCAAAUGUCAAACUGACGAGCACGGAUGAUGAGUUCAGGUGAAAAUGAGUGCGUGUACAGGACUACCACUGUGAUGGGCCGCAGCAGUGCUGGAUGCUGAUUUGUGUCAAGGAGAGGAGACAGAAAGUUCACCAAGGAAUAAAAUACAUGUAUGUUUUACCUUAGAAGCCUUCAAAUACUGGAUUAUUUCUAUCUAUAAAAUCUAAAACUAUACUGCACAUGUGCUCUGAUACUUGUGUGUAUAUUCUCUCUGUCCUUCCAGGGUUGAGAUGUUUACACUUCACUUUACAUCGCUCCAAUAUUUGGACUUUAGACUGAACGUGAUCUUGCAGUGACUCGGUUGGAUGAGGACCAGAAGUCAUUGGUCCACUGACAGCAGUGUGAAAUUAUACUGCUCAGUCAGGGAGGCAGUUACACAAGCCCGGAAUGAAACAAGUUUUCAUUCCUCUAGUUGGCCCCUUUGCUGCUCAAUCAACUCUGCAGGUUCCAUCACCGCGUUCUCCGCCAAGUCAUUCCUGGUCCCAAAGCCUCAUACCUGCAUCUGUAAGACUGUGCUGGGAGCCAUGUUCCACAAAUACGCCGACAUUCUUCAGUCGGACUGGGCUCCUGUUCCACAUGUUUGCACCACUGGGACCAAAAAUCUGUAUUCCAAAGUGUCCUACUUUUCUGGAGACACACGCAAACAGACACACAGACCGGGGAGUGAGUUUAGGGAAUGCUCCGAGGGACAUGUUAAAUCCAUCAUUUAUGUUUUUCAAAGCCUGUUUAUGGGUCAAAAAUAUGGCUGUUUCAUCACGUGCACAAACACAGCAUGCACACAGACAUAUUUUAACCGUUCAACAGAGGUAUUUUCCACUCAAUCGUCUGACUGAAGCAGCUGUCCCCUGAAUGGACUAUUAAAAACCUCCGACUAUCCCUAUAACCGCUGACCAUGUAGCUGUGCAUUUCUCAGAUGCUCAUGAUUAUUUUGGUAAGUGUUACCACCUUGGUCAACACUUCCAGUUAGUCUGUUAAAGUGCGCCAUUCCCUAAAUUAGCAGAAUGCUCCUCACACUCACCCGUCUUUGCCCCAAAGAACAACCUCCACCUCUUCAGCUUUACCUCCAUCUGCUAUCUACUGUCACCACAGACCACAAUGUCGUCUGCAAACAUUGUGCUCCAUGGAGCUUCCUGCCGGACCACAUCUGUCAACCUGACCAUCACCAUAGCGAUCACAGAGGCAAAGAGGCAAGACAAGGCUGUUUGAACCCAUGUCACUCAGAAUGCCCACCUCACUACUGUUUUGUUGGUAGUUACAUAUUUUUCACCACCCUCACAUGCUUCUAUGCCACUCUUGGCUUCCUCAUAUAGUAACACAGUUCUUCUUUAACGCAAUCAUAUGCAUUCGCUAAUGAAUGACGUGUGACCUCAUAUUUAGCAUUGAUUAAUGACUUGACUAUAUAUAUAUAAAUAUAAAAAAAAAUUACAACUUACAAAAUUACAACAUUAAAGUAAAUAAGGGCAAUGUCAUCAUUUGGUAGAUAAUUUAAUUAUUAGUAAAGGACCAAACUGCAGCAGGCUUCGAGCCCAUAUUUUUUUGUUAUUAAAUCAAAGAAUGAAAA